rnacentral:rRNA from 1 species
AACGAACGCUGGCGGCAUGCCUAACACAUGCAAGUCGAACGAGACCUUCGGGUCUAGUGGCGCACGGGUGCGUAACGCGUGGGAACCUUCCCUUAGGUUCGGAAUAACUCCCCGAAAGGGGUGCUAAUACCGGAUAAUUUCUUCGGACCAAAGAUUUAUCGCCUUUGGAUGGGCCCGCGUUGGAUUAGCUAUUUGGUAGGGUAAAAGCCUACCAAGGCUACGAUCCAUAGCUGGUCUGAGAGGAUGAUCAGCCACACUGGGACUGAGACACGGCCCAGACUCCUACGGGAGGCAGCAGUGGGGAAUAUUGGACAAUGGGCGAAAGCCUGAUCCAGCAAUGCCGCGUGAGUGAUGAAGGCCUUAGGGUUGUAAAGCUCUUUUACCCGGGAUGAUAAUGACAGUACCGGGAGAAUAAGCUCCGGCUAACUCCGUG